GUAUUUAGUUGGGCUUAGCCAUGCUUCCUUUUUAUUGGGUCGGGGCUGAGACGUAGCAGUGCGAGGCGGGGCGGAGUGGCGCGCGGCGGUCGGCGAAGGACGGUGCGGGGCUGGGCGGGGUGGAGUGGCCCGCGGCGGCCGGUGGAGGACGGAGGGUGGGGCCUCUUGCCGCUGUCCGCCGACGGUUGCCUCCCUAGGUCCGCCUCCUCCCAAUCUCUCCGCACGCCUUCCGGAUGCUCCAAACCCCCGCGGUCUAGAUCUCAAGCGCCAGGCCGCCGCAGUUUCGAGCCCGGCCUAGCUCUCCUGACCGGUACCGCUCCACCGUCACUGGUACCGCAGCCGUUACUACCGUUCUGAGCCGAUGCCCAGGAUUAGUCUCCCCCUUUGUUUCCCUUUUCAACGCCGCUGAGUGCCACUUGAGCUGCCGCUCCAGCCCCUCCGUCGUUGCCGUUCCAUUAGCUGCUACUUCCUGCCACGGCCUGAACCUCAACCUCCUACUACCGCUGCCGAAGUCCCGCUUAGGCCGGCUCAGGAACGCGCCCCUUCCUCUAAAGUUCCAACGCCUGGAGGACCUGUUCCAACAAAGGACGCCCCUCCGGCCAUCGGCACGAACACCACCAGGAGGACACCCGACGUUAAACGUGGCACUCAGGCAGCCAGGAUCGAGGUCGACGUGGCACCGUAGUGCCGCGACCUCGCCGCGCCGAGUUCUACCGUUACCCCGGGGCUUUGGGCGCAGGGGCGCCCAAAAAUGGGAUAAUCCCCUGCCCCUACCCGCAGAAAAAUUGGGGUACCCCGACGACGACCCAUUUAAUAUUUUGGGUUGUACAAAGUGCCCAAAUUUGGGCAAACUCGUUAUGGGCUUGGGCUUUGGGCGGUAGGGGCAGUUUUAUGAUGUGAUUCGGAUUAACCUGUAGAACAACUUGUUACAUACCGACUUAUUACGAAAACAAACAACGACUAUAUACGAAUACAUCGACGACAAUGACGAGAAACAUCGACUACAAUAACGAGAAAAAAGAGUUCAAUACGGCGUAUUUAUACGAGGAACAUCGACGACAAUAACGAGAAAAACGAGUUCAAGACGAUGACUUUAUACGAGGAACAUCGAUAACUUGGUACAUGAUAACAUAGGACGACUUUAAAAGC
rnacentral:rRNA from 1 species